UGGGGAAUUUUGGACAAUGGGCGCAAGCCUGAUCCAGCCAUGCCGCGUGUGGGAAGAAGGCCUUCGGGUUGUAAACCACUUUUGUCAGGGAAGAAACGGCCUAAUCUAAUACAUUGGGUUAAUGACGGUACCUGCAGAAUAAGCCCCGGCUAACUUCGUGCCAGCAGCCGCGGUAAUACGAAGGGGGCUAGCGUUGUUCGGAAUUACUGGGCGUAAAGGGCGCGUAGGCGGCAUGACAAGUCACUUGUGAAAUCUCUGGGCUUAACCCAGAACGGCCAAGUGAUACUGUCGCGCUAGAGUGCAGAAGGGGCAAUCGGAAUUCUUGGUGUAGCGGUGAAAUGCGUAGAUAUCAAGAGGAACACCUGAGGUGAAGACGGGUUGCUGGGCUGACACUGACGCUGAGGCGCGAAAGCCAGGGGAGCAAACGGGAUUAGAUACCCGUGUAGUCCCUGAGCGGGCUGGCAAGGCGCAU
rnacentral:rRNA from 1 species